GGUAACCUGCCUUAUAGUGGGGGAGUAGCCUUUCGAAAGGAAGAUUAAUACCGCAUAAGAUUGUAGUAUCGCAUGAUAUAGCAAUUAAAGGAGCAAUUCGCUAUAAGAUGGACCCGCGUCGCAUUANCUAGUUGGUGAGGUAAUGCUCACCAAGGCGACGAUGCGUAGCCGACCUGAGAGGGUGAUCGGCCACAUUGGGACUGAGACACGGCCCAGACUCCUACGGGAGGCAGCAUG
rnacentral:rRNA from 1 species